rnacentral:rRNA from 1 species
GAGUUUGAUCCUGGCUCAGGAUGAACGCUAGCGAUAGGCUUAACACAUGCAAGUCGAGGGGCAGCAUAAUUUUAGCUUGCUAAGAUUGAUGGCGACCGGCGCACGGGUGCGUAACGCGUAUGCAACCUGCCUGUAAUUAGGGGAUAGCUCGGUGAAAGUCGAAUUAAUACCCUAUAUUCUGUAUUUUUCGCAUGAUUGAUAUAGGAAAGAUUUAUUGAUUACAGAUGGGCAUGCGUUCCAUUAGCUUGUUGGUAAGGUAACGGCUUACCAAGGCAACGAUGGAUAGGGGGACUGAGAGGUUGACCCCCCACACUGGUACUGAGACACGGACCAGACUCCUACGGGAGGCAGCAGUGAGGAAUAUUGGUCAAUGGGCGCAAGCCUGAACCAGCCAAGUCGCGUGAAGGACGACGGUCCUAUGGAUUGUAAACUUCUUUUGUAGAGGAAUAAUGAUGGUUCAUCGAGUGGCUGAGGGGGAAUG